rnacentral:lncRNA from 1 species
CUAGGGUUAAUAUGAUAAAAGAGGAAUGUUUAAAUGAAGUCUAAUUAAAAGUAAAGCCAACGAAUGUCAUUACAAUCAAACGCCAACGAAUAAGGCACAUGAAGCGGGUGUUAAGGGAAGUUACAGGGAGUCUGUUAGAGGGAAAUGGUAUGAACGAGGACACACAAGCUGAAGGUGAGACGACCCUGGGUUGGUUACAGGAGAACGACGUUGAUAGAGACGAUGUGCAUGGUGCGGGUAACCGUAUAACGCUCUUCAUACAUGGACGGUUCAGAUGGAAGGGAAUGGAACAACGGUCCGGAUUAUAUUUCAAGGCUUAUAAGUAGAGAAGGGAGAGGGCGAACAGAUGGGAGGAGUGAAAGGAACGGAAGUGCUAAACAGAGUGCAGAGAAGAGAGAAGAAAGAAUUGGUGCUUCACGGCUGGGCGGAGAGCGAACGGGGAGAACUUCUUGUGGGAAGUAGACGCAGUACUCGAAGAACAAAAAGGUAAGUUCAAGCUGAACUUAAACUUGAGUUUUGCAAAUAGUUGAAUUAAUUUCCUGCGCGAGACAAGAUGAAUCCAUUUCUUACCACUAAAUUUCCUGAAUAAAAUUUUAGUGAGUGUAAAUCGAAAGACACGAGGAAGAGGAAAGAACUAGAUCAACCAAAACAAAAUGAGGGCUGAACCAAUUCGUUAAAGAGAAUAGGAGAGAGAAGAAUAGAUUAACCUAGACCCCAAAUUUCCAAAGAGGGAAGUGGUAAGGGGUUGAUAUGGAAAUAGGCCUAAAUUGGUGGGUUCCUUAGGGUAGCAGUGUGUGUACACAACGAAAUGGGAAAUACACCAAGGAUAGGAGGAAAUUAUGUGGUAAGAGGAUGGGAAAGGGGGUUUAUAGUGGGGAACUCACCCACCAGUACCAGGGAUACGGUGGAACCAGAGAGGAACGGAUAAAAAAAGAAAUAUAAAAAGAAACAGAAAACGUGAAACAUCAUUUAUAUAUAUAUAUGUCCUGUGAUUGUUCCAAAUUCUAACCUAUCACUCUGAAAGAGUGUGUGGAUGAGAGUGGCCAACUUUGGGAUUGUGAAAUAUCGAAUUUUAACAUGAACUCUGUGAUGAUAUGUAGAACUGAGUAAGUACUGUGUGACAGUGUUGCCUAUUUUAUGUAUGUGUAUGAUGAGGAAUGGAAAUGAUUCCAGACGAGUAUGUAAACCUGGUGUUUGAAUUGAAUGGCUGUGAACUUGUCAUGGUUGAGUACAUGUGUAUGAUGGAACCCGGUAGCAAGGUUCCGGACAAAAUCCAAUGCGUAUGCAUAAGCAUUUUCUAUAUUACCCUGAUUGCAUUCCCUGCAGUAUUGAGAGCCUCGGUAAAGCUGCGUAUGUGACCUGUAAUUGGGUCAUUAAGUGUGUGUGCUGAGUUAAGAAUUUUAUGAUGAAUUAAUUCACCGAAUUUGGGUGAGUGGAUGUUGAGUCAAAUGAGUAGCAUAAAUGUCGAAUUGCCUAUAAAAAAAAUAUUAUUAAUAUGAGCAAAAAAAAAGGGACUGAUAAUUGAAAAAAAUGGUGAUCAUGUGCAGGGGGAGAGAGAGAGAGAGAGACUGAGUGAGAAGAAAAUAUGGAGAGAGCAUGCCAGAUGAGUAGUGGGGUGCUUGUAUCAAAAAGAAGUGACUGAGAAAAAAAAACAAAGAAACAUAGGGCUGUGAAAGAGAGUAGCCCUUUGGGUGCGGCAGGGGCCUACGUGAGCUGUGUAAGUUCGAACAGAACGGUGAGGAUCUGUAGAGGAGUGAAACAGUAAAAAAAGAAAAUAAAUGGAGAAGCUGAGAAAGAGAGAGCAGACCUGCGGGUGAGAGGUAGAAUAGAGGAAUGGGC